UAAAGCGUUUGAGUUGUCUUCGUCUGUAUCGUCUUCGUUAGGUGCAGUUGUCACAGGCCAAGGGAUACCUGUAAGAUAUUUUAUUGUAUGUAAUUCAAUUUUUUACCCGUACUUUAAGACUUUUGAUAGGUUCAUUAAUAGGAUAAACGUAACUUCGUGGAUAU
rnacentral:lncRNA from 1 species